AGGAAGAGAAGUGGCAUGCGAUGAGGUGAUGACGUGGCAGUUACUUUUCCUUAUUUUCUUCAGUGUUAUUAGGCCGGGUUAGGUGACUCAACUUUUUCUUAUUUAGUUCCCCUUGCUUUUAAACUCUCGUCUUCAGUUCAUUUCAUUUCAUUUUAUUUUCUCUCUCGCCGAAUCAAUCCAUCUCAUUGUCUCCUCUCUUCAGCGCUCACUCUUCAGGUAAUCCUUUUUUUUUUCCCCCAAUUUCUUGUAUUUUCUAUUUAAAUUUUUAAAAUUGAUCGUAAAUAGAGCUUGAAAAAUUUAUACGGCCAAACAUAAUGUGAUCGUUUUGGGUUUUGCUUAUUCGGGCAACCAUUAGGGCAAAACAGAAACUUCCAUUUUAAUUGAGUGCUUAUUGUCUAAGGUGAGAAACAAGCAGAAGAUCUUUUUUGAUUUUCUGUACCUAAAUUCUCUGAAUAAACAGUGGGGCCCACCAGUAGGGACGGUUUCUGUUUUCAUAGUCUCUCAUCGAGUCGCGUGCUUUGCCAGAAAUUUUGACCUUUGAAGAUCUGUGAUGUUGACGCGUGUCCUUGAUUAUUCGCGGUUUUGACGUACUAACAUUUGGAAAUUUUGCAGACCAGUCCAAUCCGGUCGAACCGAACCGGGUUCACCCUUGUGCAGCGGAGUGAACUGUGAGGGAGGAAAAGACGUACGUUGUCAGACGAUGAUAAUCAACCUACCGCGUCUGGUUGCCGGAUCUGCUCGCGAUCGACGUUUGGCUGCUGCUUGUGCUGUUGGAACUGCUGGAAUUGCUCGCGUUUAGCUGCUGCUUGUGCUCGCUUUUGGCUGCUGAUCCUGCCUGUUGAAUCUUGCGUUUGGCUGCUGCUUGUGCUCGCGUUUGGCUGCUGCUUGUGCUCGCGUUUGGCUGCUACUUGUGCUCGCUUUUGGCUGCUGCUUGUGCUCGCGUUUGGUUGCUGAUCCUGCCUGUUGAAUCUCGCAUUUGGCUGCUGCUUGUGCUCGCGUUUGGUUGCUGCUCUUGCUUGUGGAAUCUCUCGUUUGGCUGCUGGAAUUGCUUGCGUUUCCCACUAAUGAUGUCGGUUUGCUUAGUUAAGAUUUAAAGAUGUCUGCAGUUAGGUGGUUGUUCAGCAUAUGCUCAUGUUUAUUAAACUGUGAGAAUUUUUAUCUUUCAUUGCACCUUCUCAUGAACAGCUCUUCGGAGGUACCUCAAGAAAGGAAUUUUUUCCUUUUUCCCCCAUUACUUAAUUAUAUUAGAAGAUUUUUGAGAGACGACCAUCCUUUCAAACUCGAAUUGCAGCAAGUAAAUUUGGUUACCUGUCAAAAUUUGAAGUGGCCGUCCGAAAUAAUGUUGGAAAUAUUGCAUAUUUUUCUUUUAGUAUCCAUUGUAAGAGUGCUGAAACUGAAUGUAUCUUUUUCAAAACUGCAAAUGGUUUUCAUUUUGGUUUUUGAGAAUUGGAAUCGCACUUUACAUUAAUAAUCAAUUAUAUUUAUUUUUAUUCUUGAGUAAUGGAUUAAAUUUAUUUAGUUUGAAGAAAAAAUUUGACAAAAAAUUAAAUGAAAAAAUUGGGUAAUAAAGGUAUAUUCGUAAUUUUAUUAAUAAUAUAGGGAUAAAUUGGACAAUGAACAAUUAUUUUUUAAUAUGCUAUAAGGGUAUAAUAGUAAUUAUACUUUAAAAUUAUAAUUUCUGUUAGAAGAAACGGUUUUUGUUAACCAAUGGGGGUCUGAGUGUCUUUUUUAAAAUAUUAAGAAAUUUUGUGUCCCUUAUUCAAACGUUGGGGAUCUCUGUGUCUUUUUCCCAAGCCAAAAUCCCUGAUUGUAAUAAAUAUUUAGCAACAAUCAAAAUCAAAAUUAAUUCUAUUGUCGUUUUCACUUUUCACCGUCCAUGGCUCUAUUAACGUAAUACCUAGUAUGAACACUGUUUAAGAGGCGUAUGGCCGUUAAUUAACGCUUUUGUAAUUAUCCAUAAUCUUUAAUAAUUUAGAUCAAAACUUUUGGAAAAUUAUUAAUUAUUAAUUCCAUUUUUUUUCUUACUUUUCUUCCUUAAAAUAAAUAAAUAGUAAGUGGUUGGCGAAGUGGAUUAUGUGGAAGGAAGAGAAGUGGCAUGCGAUGAGGUGAUGACGUGGCAGUUACUUUUCCUUAUUUUCUUCAGUGUUAUUAGGCCGGGUUAGGUGACUCAACUUUUUCUUAUUUAGUUCCCCUUGCUUUUAAACUCUCGUCUUCAGUUCAUUUCAUUUCAUUUUAUUUUCUCUCUCGCCGAAUCAAUCCAUCUCAUUGUCUCCUCUCUUCAGCGCUCACUCUUCAGGUAAUCCUUUUUUUUUUCCCCCAAUUUCUUGUAUUUUCUAUUUAAAUUUUUAAAAUUGAUCGUAAAUAGAGCUUGAAAAAUUUAUACGGCCAAACAUAAUGUGAUCGUUUUGGGUUUUGCUUAUUCGGGCAACCAUUAGGGCAAAACAGAAACUUCCAUUUUAAUUGAGUGCUUAUUGUCUAAGGUGAGAAACAAGCAGAAGAUCUUUUUUGAUUUUCUGUACCUAAAUUCUCUGAAUAAACAGUGGGGCCCACCAGUAGGGACGGUUUCUGUUUUCAUAGUCUCUCAUCGAGUCGCGUGCUUUGCCAGAAAUUUUGACCUUUGAAGAUCUGUGAUGUUGACGCGUGUCCUUGAUUAUUCGCGGUUUUGACGUACUAACAUUUGGAAAUUUUGCAGACCAGUCCAAUCCGGUCGAACCGAACCGGGUUCACCCUUGUGCAGCGGAGUGAACUGUGAGGGAGGAAAAGACGUACGUUGUCAGACGAUGAUAAUCAACCUGAAGGAAUCGACAAUGGUGCGGCCGGCGGCGGAGACGCCGAGGGUGGCGCUGUGGAACGCGAACGUCGACCUGGUGGUGCCGCGGUUCCACACGCCCAGCGUCUACUUCUACCGGCCGACCGGCGCCGCCAACUUCUUCGACGCCGGGGUUCUCAAGGACGCACUGAGCAAGGCGC
rnacentral:lncRNA from 1 species